rnacentral:rRNA from 1 species
UACGGGGGGGGCAAGCGUUGUUCGGAAUUACUGGGCGUAAAGGGCUCGUAGGUGGCCAACUAAGUCAUGCGUGAAAUCCCUCGGCUUAACCGGGGAACUGCGCCUGAUACUGGUUGGCUUGAGUUUGGGAGAGGGACGCGGAAUUCCAGGUGUAGCGGUGAAAUGCGUAGAUAUCUGGAGGAACACCGGUGGCGAAGGCGGCGUCCUGGACCAAUACUGACACUGAGGAGCGAAAGCCAGGGGAGCAAACGGG